rnacentral:rRNA from 1 species
UACGGAGGGUCCGAGCGUUAAUCGGAAUUACUGGGCGUAAGGCGUGCGCAGGCGGUUUGUUAAGCGAGAUGUGAAAACCCUGGGCUCAACCUAGGAAUAGCAUUUCGAACUGGCGAACUAGAGUCUUGUAAAGGGGGGUAGAAUUCCAGGUGUAGCGGUGAAAUGCGUAGAAAUCUGGAGGAAUACCGGUGGCGAAGGCGGCCCCCUGGACAAAGACUGACGCUCAUGCACGAAAGCGUGGGGAGCAAACAGG